AAUAUAAAGUGAAAAGUUAGAGUAUAAGAAGGUUAAUGAAGAAGUAGAGGAUAGUAAGAGUCAAUUUUCUUUGUUCAGUUACAAUAUAGUUGGAUGAAAUGUCAUGUUAAACUUUUUGAUAUUUCUGUCAUAGAGGGAGGAGAGAAUGUAAAGAUGAUAAAAAAGGGAAGAGUGAAUAGCUGUGCUGGACAUGGGCUAUGGCUGGAUGUAACCGAUUGGUGAGAGUUAAUGUGUGCAGACGAGAGAAGCUGAAAACUGAGAUGUGAUGUCAGACACUUUCUGCUUCCCGUAGUGAUGCAGAGCCAGAAGCUUUGAAGCAGGGAACAUGGACUGGUGUGAAAAAUUAUGUGCGGAACAGGAUCACGACUCCUAAAAGAAAGGGUGGUUUGUAGGGAGGCACAAACACUUCAACACUUUGCACAUUAUGCUCUUUUCGUAAGAAAUGGAGCUAAAUUAAAAGAAAUUAAGAUAAAGGUGUAGACAUUAAAAUUAAGAGACGCUCGCGCUGUUUGCAUACUUUACCACAGCUGAAGUAGAAAAAAUGCAUUAUUUUCCAAAUACACAGAUAUUUCGGAGACAUUUUCAUUCAAUACAUGCACUGCUUGAUACAGUGUCUGUUUGUACAAGAAUAAAGUUCAACAUAAGCCUAAAUACCAACGUAAAGAGGUAGGAGAGAAUGUAAAGGGGACGUAAAGUGGGAGGAGAGAAUGUAAAGGGGACGUAAAGAGGGAGGAGAGCAUGUAAAGAGGGAGGAGAGCAUGUAAAGGGUACGUAAAGAGGGAGGAGAGACAGCGACGCCCUUGCUGUGCCAUAAGGCAACAGAGUACAACUAGAGUGAUUGGAGAGCAGGAGGACUCAGAUAGAGCAGAUUCUCUAGAGCGACUCACGAGCUCUGAUGAUGACACAGCUAAUCCACGAUUGGCAGAGUACACCGCUUGACAACGAUCACGUGUGUUUCAUGUCUCUUCUCACACCUUCAGUUCCACUAAGGAUCACAUCUGUUCUUUAUAACAGUAAAAGCUCUUUUCACAUAGUUGCGAUAAAUGUUUAUCAAAAUAAAACAAAUAAAACAAUGUAGACCCCACUUCACUGGUAUUUAGGCUUAUUUUGAACUUUAUUCUUGUACAAACAGUAGUGCAUGUAUUGAAUGAAAAUGUCUCUGAAAUAUCUGUAUUUGGAAAAUAAUGCGUUUAUUCCACUUCAGCUGUGGUAAAGUAUGCAAACUUAGCCUGAGCAUCACUACAGGAAGCAGAAAGUGUCUGACAUCACAUCUCAGUUUUCAGCUUCUCUCGUCUGCACACGGCAACUCUCACCAAUCGGUUACAUCCAGCCACAGCCCAUGUCCAGCACAGCUAAUAUAAGGGAGGAAUAGAGGCAGUAAAUGUAAAGAGGAUAAAGAGAGGGAGGAGUAAAGCGGGUAAAAAGAGUGAGGAGUAGAGUUAAAUAGGAUAGAGAGAGGGAGGAGUGAAGAGGGAGGAGUAGAGUUAAAGAGGAUAGAGAGGGAGGAGUAAAGAGGGUAAAAAGAGGGAGGAGUAGAGUUAAAGAGGGAGGAAGUAAAGGAGGAAGUAGAGAGAUUUUGAAGAAGGGUGGAUGGAGGAAGUACAGAGGAUAGUUGGGCACUGAGAAUCAUUCCCACCUCCAAGUUAAUUGAUUUUUCAUUGUUGUUCUUUAAAAAAAAAAAUUUUUUUGAAGUUCUGUCAUUAACUGCAAUGUGCACUUUCAACACAAUGUGUCCAAGACUGUUAAUAUUAAAGAGUCAUUUAAUCAGA